rnacentral:misc_RNA from 1 species
UGUAUAUGAAAACUUGAAUGAAAAGAAAUGGGAAUGUUGACUAUACUAAUAUUGAUGUUUAUGAUGUUACACUCCCAAGCUAUGCUGGAUAUUGAAGGAAAUCUUUAUGAGUUGGAUUAUUUAUUAAAGAACAUGAAUCCUAACGGAACCUGUCAGAAUCUUCUUAACAAAUUCAGCAAAUCCAGUUCAAUGUUCGUUCUCUGUGCAAACACUUAUGCAAAGCCGAUAUCUAUGUGCAGACAAUGUGCUCCGUAUGUUCUGGACUUGACAGAAAUUUAUCAGAUGUUGUCAAAUACAAGUGAAGAAGAGUCCGGGGUUCUCUGUAAAGAUAUUUUGACUGCUCAGGAUAGAGUUGAGAUUAUUCAGGAAACAUAUGAGUACAUCGCAGCAGAGCCCACUCGAUCCAACCCUACACAGGGAUUAUGGUUCAAAGGACACUGUAACAGCUGCUAUACGAUGCCACUAUCUCACAACAGUAAUCAUUCUAAGGAAACAAAAGAAUUUUUCGACAGACAUUCAAUAGUCCAAUCUUGCUUUGCGCAAUAUCCUUACGCUGAGGGAAAUUCUGAAAGAAACACUAGUGAAGCUUGUCUUGAAUGCCAAUAUGUCUAUCAGAAUCUGUCUGAUUACUACAAGUUCAAUAUUCUGGAUCAAGAUGCUCCCUUUACAGACUCUGUUUGCUUCGAUAUACUUGACGCCAUUAACAUGACGCAGCGUAUCUGGGGAGAGAAGUACAACUGCGGACCUAAACCUAGAACACAUUGGACGCUUCUAACUUUAGUUUGUAUAGUUCUCUGUACUCCAGCAUUCUUCUAUCCUGUAGUCAGGUUUACAGAAUCAUCUGCUGAGGAGCGUGUAAUCAGCCAACGUCACAUCACUGACUUUUUUGAUCAAAAUCUUAGAAGACUCGCCUUCAACAGGAGCCGGUUUUCAAGAAUUUACAGAUCAAAACAAACUUACAAAGAUAUUUUGCUGCCUCCAUGAUAUAUUGGGGCAUACAUUUAAAAAUAUGUUGUGAACCAAUGAUGUGAAUUGUGAUUUAGAAGUACAAGACCAACAUUGUCCAUAUUAAAUUUGUUAAAGCUUAUGAAUGUUGAGAAAGCUUUUUCUGUGUACACUGUACACUGGACAGUGUACACAGUAACAGUGUACAGUACACUUAAGUAUAUUUACAGUCAAUAUUGAGUCCUUGUUUUAAAAGUGUAUAAAAACAAAAAAAUGCUUAUGUGGAAUGCAGAAAUGGUUCCAAAAAAUGUUGUCAGAUUAAUAAAAUAGUUUUAAAAUA